CCUACGGGAGGCAGCAGUGGGGGAUAUUGCACAAUGGGGGAAACCCUGAUGCAGCGAAGCCGCGUGUGGGAAGAUUGUCCUCCGGAUUGUAAACCACUGUUCUCAGGGACGAAAAUGACGGUAGCGGGGGUGGAAGCUCCGGCUAACUAAGUGCCAGCAGCCGCGGUAAUACGUAGGGAGCGAGCGUUGUCCGGAAUUACUGGGUGUAAGGGGAGCGUAGGCGGGGAUGCAAGUUGGGUGUCAAAACUACCGGCUAAACUGGUAGUCGCACUCAAAACUGCAGGUCUUGAGUAAAGUAGAGGCAGGCGGAAUUCGUAGUGUAGCGGUGAAAUGCGUAGAUAUUAGGAGGAACACCAGUGGCGAAGGCAGCCUGCUAGGCUUUUACUGACGCUGAGGCUCGAAAGUGUGGGUAGCAAACAGGAUUAGAUACCCUGGUAGUC
rnacentral:rRNA from 1 species